rnacentral:lncRNA from 1 species
AGCAGUUCCCUGCCAUGUGGUCCUUUCCACUUCCUGUAAAACAAUCCUGAGUUCCAGGAAGAAACACACUCAGCUAACACAUUGCUCGUUUGCUUCCUCAAGGCCAGAAGGAGUAUUUCUUUCUCCAGUCUGCUAAUACAGAGUCUCAUAUAAGAAAAACAAAGCAAGAAAACAGCAACAAUAACAAUAGCAGUGUGGUUCACCGAGUAUGUGCCCAAGGCAUGAAAGAGAGGAGCACAAUUUCCUUGACAGAGCUGAGAUUGUGUUCUGCUUACUUCUGUGGGAAUCGGGGUAGGUGUGCGGCUCUUAAAUCAUACAUGUCAUUUACUCUAAUUCAAUUAAAUGUUAUGGAUU